rnacentral:siRNA from 1 species
UGAGGAUGAUACAGAAUACCGC